CAAAGAUUAAGCCAUGCAUGUCUAAGUACACGCCUUUACACGGCUAAACUGCGAAUGGCUCAUUAAAUCAGUUAUGGUUCCUUAGAUCGUACAAUCCUACUUGGAUAACUGUGGCAAUUCUAGAGCUAAUACAUGCAACACAGCUCCGACCUCGCGGGAAGAGCGCUUUUGUUAGCCCAAAACCAAUGCGUCGCUCUCGGGCGGCGCUCCUUAUGGUGACUCUGGACAACUUUGUGCCGAUCGCACGGCCCUAGCGCCGGCGACGUAUCUUUCAAGUGUCUGCCCUAUCAACUUUCGAUGGUACGUGCUAUGCCUACCAUGGUGAUAACGGGUAACGGGGAAUCAGGGUUCGAUUCCGGAGAGGGAGCAUGAGAUACGGCUACCACAUCC
rnacentral:rRNA from 1 species